rnacentral:rRNA from 1 species
AUUGAACGAUGGCGGCAGGCCUAACACAUGCAAGUCGAACGAGUGGCGGACGGGUGAGUAAUGUCUGGGAAACUGCCUGAUGCAGGGGGCUAACUACUGGAAACGGUAGCUAAUACCGCAUACCAUCGGAUGUGCCCAGAUGGGAUUAGCUAGUAGGUGGUGUAAAGGCUCACCUAGGCGACGAUCCCUAGCUGGUCUGAGAGGAUGACCAGCCACACUGGAACUGAGACACGGUCCAGACUCCUACGGGAGGCAGCAGUGGGGAAUAUUGCACAAUGGGCGCAAGCCGGAUGCAGCCAUGCCGCGUGUAUGAAGAAGGCCUUCGGGUUGUAAAGUACUUUCAGCGGGGAGGCGUUACCCGCAGAAGAAGCACCGGCUAACUCCGUGCCAGCAGCCGCGGUAAUUC